AUAUUGGACAAUGGGCGAAAGCCUGAUCCAGCAAUGCCGCGUGAGUGAUGAAGGCCUUAGGGUUGUAAAGCUCUUUUACCCGGGAUGAUAAUGACAGUACCGGGAGAAUAAGCUCCGGCUAACUCCGUGCCAGCAGCCGCGGUAAUACGGAGGGAGCUAGCGUUGUUCGGAAUUACUGGGCGUAAAGCGCGCGUAGGCGGUUUCUCAAGUCAGAGGUGAAAGCCCGGGGCUCAACCCCGGAACUGCCAUUGAAACUAGGAGACUAGAAUCUUGGAGAGGUCAGUGGAAUUCCGAGUGUAGAGGUGAAAUUCGUAGAUAUUCGGAAGAACACCAGUGGCGAAGGCGACUGACUGGACAAGUAUUGACGCUGAGGUGCGAAAGCGUGGGGAGCAAACAG
rnacentral:rRNA from 1 species